GGCCCAGUGUUUCGUUUAACUCUCCGGUCACCACUAAUUCGAGUCCUUUUCGAUCCUCAGGCUACAGUUGUCCGCCGGAAAAAGGACCUAUAAGGGAAGGCUAGCAGGUGUUGCCACCGAUGGUUACCGACCAUAACAAAGCGGAUCUUAGCGACAAGUUCGGAUCGAUUGACUCAUACGACCUACUUCAAUGUCAGUACAACUCAGCACAAGUCAAUAGCUACGUCACCAAGAAAAGCCAGACGGUGAGGAAGCAUAAGCGUGACACCUGUAAACCUGUGUUUUACCCUGUUCCAGUCGAUUCUGAUGUCUACACGCCCCUAUCUCAAGUGACUGGCUUUAUGAUGUAUGCAUAUUAUGGUAUCGCUGUUAUAUCGCUGAUAAGGGGAACGAUAAAGCUUCGAUGAUGAGGCUUUUACUGAAAUCAAACAGUUGGGCCCUCGAAAUGAUACGGGACAGCAAACUACAAGAGAAGCAAGUCAUCUCAGACUGAAAUACAGUGAACGGAAAAAAUACACUUUCGAAGGGAGAAAAUAAGGGGCUGAGUCAUCAACCGCAGAUGAAUAUUCCAAAUUCCUAAACGUUUUUGAGAUGUUGUUUUCUGCAGCAGACGCACAUCGCAUUGUUUAUCUGCGUGCUCUUCGUCGCAAGUCACCACUCACCAUUCACC